rnacentral:tRNA from 1 species
GGGGGUAUGGCGGAAUUGGUAUACGCUACGGACUUAAAAUCCGUUGGUUUUAAACCAUGAGGGUUCGACCCCCUCUACCCCCA